CUCUCCAAACCUCUCUCUCCCAUUCACACCACACAAGAACCUUAUCUCUUCUCCACCGGUGCUCUCUCUCCCCCAACCUCUCUCUCUUCCCCACUGGUGCUCUCUCUCUCCCAACCUCGCUCUCCCACCUUAUCUCUUGAGCUCGUGCACCUCCUUUUGCAGCUGCUGGGUGGGCCCGACUACCGUCGACGUGCACCUCCUUUUGCAGCCGCUGGGUGGGCCCUACUACCGUCGACGAGGCAUCCAUGGAGCAUAGCAAAAGCUUCAUGAAGGCCCUGCAUGUGAGGUGCAGUAAGCAAUCAAGGCAAACAAGGAGCUCAAGAACUUGCAGCCACAGCUCUACUCGGCCUCGGAGUACUGCGAGAAAUCCUACCUCCAUAAUGAGCAGAAGCAAAUGCGCAGGUGGCAGCGACGACGACAAGCAGGGUGUGGGCGAGGUCGACUUGUUUGAUUUGAUUUGUUUGAUCCUACCUCCAAAUCAAGCAGAAGCAAAUGCAUAGAAGCAAAUGUUCAAUUUGUUUGAUUUGAUUAUGAGAUGAGUCUCCUUGUGUUCGAUUUGAUUGUGAGAUGAGUCGAUUUAUUCAAUUUGAUUAUGAGAUGUGUUCGAUGAGAUGAGUUGAUCUGGUCUU